ACACACAAACACACACCCGCACGCACACACACCCAUGCACAUAUAUCCACGCGCAAAAACACACACACGCACGCACGCACAUGCACCCACACACAUGCACACACACACACACCUAUGCACAUACACCCACGCGCAAAAACACACACGCACGCACGCACAUGCACACACACACCCAUGCACGCACACCCACGCACACACACCCUGAUCACCAUGCUGAACACUGGCAUAACCAUGACUACUGCCCUGAUCACCUAGAUGAAUACUGGCGUAACCAUGACUACUGCCCUGAUCACCUAGCUGAACACUGGCGUAACCAUGACUAAUGCCCUGAUCACCACGCUGAACCAGGACUUGAGCUGUUAACCUCAGAACCAAAGCCUUCCUCCCCUGCCCUGCCCUGCACAGAGAGAAUUCUGUCAGACAGAUACACACCACCUGCUCUUCCACUCAGAGCCUGGCUUUAACUCUGGAGUUUCACACUGUCAGAGUCAGGCUUUAACUCUGGAGGUUCACACUGUCAGAGUCAGGCUUUAACUCUGGAGUUUCACACUGUCAGAAGUCGGCUUUAACUCUGGAGUUUCACACUGUCAGAGUCAGGCUUUAACUCUGGAGUUUCACACUGUCAGAGUCUGACUUUAACUCUGAGUUUCACGCUGUCAGAGACUGGCUUUAACUUUGGAGUUUCACACUGUCAGAGUCUGGCUUUAACUCUGGAGUUUCACACUGUCAGAGCCUGGCUUUAACUCUGGAGUUUCACACUGUCAGAGCCUGGCUUUAACUCUGGAGUUUCACACUGUCAGAGUCUGGCUUUAACUCUGGAGUUUCACACUGUCAGAGUCUGACUUUAACUCUGGAGUUUCACGCUGUCAGAGCCUGGCUUUAACUCUGGAGUUUCACACUGCCAGAGCCUGGCUUUAACUUCUUCUCUGGCAUUGUGAGUGGUGCGUGGGCAACCAUGACAUCCAGCAAAUGUAGCACCAUUGUACACAGGCACGUGGACCAGGGAGAAAUAGUCAUGUUUUCGAAAUUUAGGGCAAGCAUAGUCAUGUUAUUGUCAUGUGAUUGGGUUCUGGGACAUAACAUGGUCAAAAAAUGGACAUGUGAUUGGGGUCUUGUUUAAAUGUGGUCACGUGAUUUGUGUUUUUUGGAAGUAUGUGCUGAACGUGCUGUGUGGGCAUGUGUAUGUAUGUUUGUGUGCAUAAGUUUGCGAAUGUGUGUAUGCAUAAGUGUGUGCGUGUGUACAUGUGUACAUGCAUGAGGGUGUGCACGUUUCUGAGUGCAUGUGUGUGCAUUUUGUCUGUAUAAGUGUGUGUGUGAGUGUGCGUGCCUGCUGUAAAUGUGUGUUUCAGAUGGGUGUGCUGUAAAGGUGUGUUUCAGAUGGGUGUGCUGUAAAGGUGUGUUUCGGAUGGGUGUGCUGUAAAGGUGUGUUUCAGCUGGGUGUGCUGUAUGGUUCUGUUUCAGAUGGGUGUGCUGUAUGGUUGUGUUUCAGAUGGGUGUGCUGUAUGGUUCUGUUUCAGAUGGGUGUGCUGUAAAGGUGUGUUUCAGAUGGGUGUGCUGUAAAGGUGUGUUUCAGAUGGGUGUGCUGUAUGGUUGUGUUUCAGCUGGGUGUGCUGUACAGUUGUGUUUCAGCUGGGUGUGCUGUAAAGGUGUGUUUCAGAUGAGUGUGCUGUAAAGGUGUGUUUCAGAUGGUUGUGCUGUAAAGGUGUGUUUCAGAUGGGUGUGCUGUGUGGUUGUGUUUCAGAUGGGUGUGCUGUAAAGGUGUGUUUCAGAUGGGUGUGCUGUAAAGGUGUGUUUCAGAUGGGUGUGCUGUACAGUUGUGUUUCAGCUGGGUGUGCUGUAAAGGUGUGUUUCAGAUGGGUGUGCUGUAAAGGUGUGUUUCAGAUGAGUGUGCUGUAAAGGUGUGUUUCAGAUGGUUGUGCUGUAAAGGUGUGUUUCAGAUGGGUGUGCUGUAAAGGUGUGUUUCAGAUGGGUGUGCUGUAUGAUUCUGUUUCAGCUGGGUGUGCUGUACAGUUGUGUUUCAGAUGGGUGUGCUGUAUGGUUGUGUUUCAGAUGGGUGUGCUGUACAGUUGUGUUUCAGCUGGGUGUGCUGUAAAGGUGUGUUUCAGAUGAGUGUGCUGUAAAGGUGUGUUUCAGAUGGUUGUGCUGUAAAGGUGUGUUUCAGAUGGGUGUGCUGUGUGGUUGUGUUUCAGAUGGGUGUGCUGUAAAGGUGUGUUUCAGAUGAGUGUGCUGUAAAGGUGUGUUUCAGAUGGGUGUGCUGUAUGGUUCUGUUUCAGAUGGGUGUGCUGUAAAGGUGUGUUUCAGAUGGUUGUGCUGUAAAGGUGUGUUUCAGAUGGGUGUGCUGUAAAGGUGUGUUUCAGAUGGGUGUGCUGUAAAGGUGUGUUUCAGAUGGUUGUGCUGUAAAGGUGUGUUUCAGAUGGUUGUGCUGUAAAGGUGUGUUUCAGAUGGGUGUGCUGUAUGGUUCUGUUUCAGAUGGGUGUGCUGUAAAGGUGUGUUUCAGAUGGUUGUGCUGUAAAGGUGUGUUUCAGAUGGGUGUGCUGUAUGGUUGUGUUUCAGAUGGGUGUGCUGUACAGUUGUGUUUCAGAUGGGUGUGCUGUAUGAUUCUGUUUCAGCUGGGUGUGCUGUACAGUUGUGUUUCAGAUGGGUGUGCUGUAAAGGUGUGUUUCAGAUGGGUGUGCUGUAUGAUUCUGUUUCAGCUGGGUGUGCUGUACAGUUGUGUUUCAGAUGGGUGUGCUGUAUGGUUGUGUUUCAGAUGGGUGUGCUGUACAGUUGUGUUUCAGAUGGGUGUGCUGUAUGGUUGUGUUUCAGAUGGGUGUGCUGUACAGUUGUGUUUCAGAUGGGUGUGCUGUAAAGGUGUGUUUCAGAUGGGUGUGCUGUACAGUUGUGUUUCAGAUGGGUGUGCUGUAUGGUUGUGUUUCAGAUGGGUGUGCUGUAUGGUUGUGUUUCAGAUGGGUGUGCUGUAAAGGUGUGUUUCAGAUGGUUGUGCUGUAAAGGUGUGUUUCAGAUGGGUGUGCUGUAAAGGUGUGUUUCAGAUGGUUGUGCUGUAAAGGUGUGUUUCAGAUGGGUGUGCUGUACAGUUGUGUUUCAGAUGGGUGUGCUGUACAGUUGUGUUUCAGAUGGUUGUGCUGUAAAGGUGUGUUUCAGAUGGUUGUGCUGUAAAAGUGUGUUUCAGAUGGGUGUGCUGUACAGUUGUGUUUCAGAUGGGUGUGCUGUAUGGUUGUGUUUCAGAUGGGUGUGCUGUAUGGUUCUGGUUCAGCUGGGUGUGCUGUAAAGGUGUGUUUCAGAUGGUUGUGCUGUAAAGGUGUGUUUCAGAUGGGUGUGCUGUACAGUUGUGUUUCAGAUGGGUGUGCUGUAUGGUUCUGUUUCAGAUGGGUGUGCUGUAAAGGUGUGUUUCAGAUGGGUGUGCUGUAAAGGUGUGUUUCAGAUGGGUGUGCUGUAAAGGUGUGUUUCAGAUGGGUGUGCUGUGUGGUUGUGUUUCAGAUGGGUGUGCUGUAAAGGUGUGUUUCAGAUGGGUGUGCUGUAAAGGUGUGUUUCAGAUGGGUGUGCUGUGUGGUUGUGUUUCAGAUGGGUGUGCUGUAAAGGUGUGUUUCAGAUGGGUGUGCUGUAUGGUUCUGUUUCAGAUGGGUGUGCUGUAAAGGUGUGUUUCAGAUGGGUGUGCUGUAUGGUUCUGUUUCAGAUGGGUGUGCUGUAAAGGUGUGUUUCAGAUGGGUGUGCUGUAUGGUUCUGUUUCAGCUGGGUGUGCUGUAAAGGUGUGUUUCAGAUGGGUGUGCUGUAAAGGUGUGUUUCAGAUGGGUGUGCUGUAAAGGUGUGUUUCAGAUGGGUGUGCUGUAAAGGUGUGUUUCAGAUGGGUGUGCUGUAUGGUUGUGUUUCAGAUGGGUGUGCUGUACAGUUGUGUUUCAGAUGGGUGUGCUGUAUGGUUGUGUUUCAGAUGGGUGUGCUGUGUGGUUGUGUUUCAGAUGGGUGUGCUGUGUGGUUGUGUUUCAGCUGGGUGUGCUGUAAAGGUGUGUUUCAGAUGGGUGUGCUGUAAAGGUGUGUUUCAGAUGGGUGUGCUGUAAAGGUGUUGUAGGAUAUGUAGUGUUUAGAUUUUGGCCUUAGAGAGGGAAACAGUGAAUAAGAAUGUGGCCUGGCCUCCCCAUCACAAGCAUAAAAGCAAAUGUGAUUGGGGCAAUUUUAAAUUCUACUGAUACCCUAAUCUAGGCUGACAAUCUAUGGGUCUCACCUCCUCAGAAGAGACAAACCAUAUGACACAGGAUACCAUAUCGGGGGUCGGAGACCCAGCAUGCCUAACAUUUCCCAUUACUUAAGUUUGAAUGCAAUCUUUAGGUAGGCCAGUCCUUUUUAUGAGUUAGUCUGACCCCCCUUCCCUUAUCCCCAAAACCUUAACUUGGCAUCACCCAAUCAGGGCAAACGUCCCCAAGCCAUGCUGGGUAAGGUAUUUAAGAUGGCCACAGGAAAAAGGUUGUGUUGCGUUUGGUUUCAAGAAGAAGAGUUUUUCUCUUUUUAUUUUGGUGGUGGUUCCUUGGUUGCGUGUGUAUUUAGCUGGUUUCCUUUCAUCCUGUGGCGCUUAUACUGGAAGUGGGCGAUACUCAGGCAAGGCCUGGCUUAUCCGUCUCUCUCUCUUUUCUGGUAUUUCUAGAUGAAUUGUUUAGUGUUUUGUAUUAUGUCUUCUGUUGUGUAAUUUAUAAGUAGUGUGCCUGCAUUCAAUAAAGAAUGUAUUAUUUCAAUUCAUUAAUUUAAUUUAUUGCUUCAUGUUGAAUUCAAUUAUUUAAACCUUGAAACCUUAUAUACAGCUUGUUUUGACUUGGUUGGUUGAUUCCACCAGUGCGCUGUAGACUGACCUAACAACAGAUUGUCAAUUCACUGAUAAUUAUAAUUUUCAAUAAUAAUUACUAAAUUAAAUCACUUAAAAUAUAUUUUACAUGUUGGGUAAGUGAGACGUUUUAACGGCUGAUGCACUUGUGUACAGUGCCGGACAUCAAAGGAGGGUGUUAACGGUUAAAACUGCUGGAUUCGGAAAAUUAAACAUAUUUAAAUCAAUCCUCACCUUGUUGACAGUGCGUUUCAGAUGGGUGUGUUGUGAAGGUGUGUUUCCCAUGCAUGUGUUUUUUUAUGUAAUGGCCAUGUGACCCACAGGAGUCACAGUAGUUUUUACCCAGCAGUUGAGACCUCAGAGGUGAGACCUGCUCUUCUGCUGAAAGGUUUGGUGGGAGAGGGGGGCUUUCCAUCCUCUUUCUAUUUUUAACAAAUUGUAUUUAGUUUUUUUUUUAAGUGCAGUAUCUGUGUGUGUGCGUGUGCGUGUGUUCACAGAACUCUAUAAGCAGUGUGCCAUAGUGUCCAUUGCUUUGACCCCUCUGUGACCCCUGUGCAGUUAGCUGGUGUGCCAGAGCAGGAACACAGAACAGCCCUGCUUCUACGAAACUGCCCCGCGAAACUACCCCGCGAACUGCCCCACAGACUGCCCCGUGAACUGCCCCACAAACUGCCCCACAAAACUACCCCGCGGAACUGCCCCACGAACUGCCCCGCAGACUGCCCCUCGGAACUGCCCCACGAACUGCCCUGCAAACUGCCCCGCAAACUAUCCCGCGACCUGCCCCACAAACUACCGUGCGGACUGCCCCGUAAAACUGCCCCGCGAACUGCCCUACGAACUGCCCCGCAGACUGCCCUGCAAACUGCCUCGCAAAACUACCCCGCAAACUGCCCUGCAAACUGCCCUGCUGUUUAUCACAUAUGUGGGCUUUGCGGUGGGAGAGUUCCGAUGAACUCUCUGAUGAUGUAACAUUGUACAGUAUGUUGUAAUUUAAAUCAGUUGGGCGACGCCUAAAAAGUGUCCUGAUGGUGAUGAUGUGGGACGGAGUGUGGCACAGUGGGUAAGGAACUGCGCUUGUAACCGAAAGGUCGUAGGUUCGAAUCCCGGGUAAGGACACUGCCGUUGUACCCUUGAGCAAGGUACUUAACCUGCAUUGCUUCAGUAUAUAUCCAGCUGUAUAAAUGGAUACAAUGUAAAGUGCUAUGUAAAAAAAAAAAAAAAAAAAGUUGUGUAAGUCGCUCUGGAUAAGAGCGUCUGCUAAAUGCCUGUAAUGUAAUGUAAUGUAAUGAUACCUCAUCACUGAUCUGCACCAAUCACAACAGUCAGCUGUGGGCAGGAAGUUUCUGUGAUUGGUGCACAUGAGACAGCUUCACCCGUUCCAGGCAGCAAGCGGUCUCUCUCAAAUCAGUGAUGUCUGAGCC